rnacentral:rRNA from 1 species
CGGGCCUUGUACACACCGCCCGUCACACCAUGGGAGUGGGUUGCAAAAGAAGUAGGUAGCUUAACCUUCGGGAGGGCGCUUACCACUUUGUGAUUCAUGACUGGGGUGAAGUCGUAACAAGGUAACCGUAGGGGAACCUGCGGUUGGAUCACCUCCUUACCUUAAAGAAGC